rnacentral:rRNA from 1 species
UACGUAGGGUGCGAGCGUUAAUCGGAAUUACUGGGCGUAAAGCGUGCGCAGGCGGUCUGUUAAGACCGAUGUGAAAUCCCCGGGCUUAACCUGGGAACUGCAUUGGUGACUGGCAGGCUUUGAGUGUGGCAGAGGGGGGUAGAAUUCCACGUGUAGCAGUGAAAUGCGUAGAGAUGUGGAGGAAUACCGAUGGCGAAGGCAGCCCCCUGGGCGUAACACUGACGCUC